GGAAAAUGGACGCUAAAUUGAGACUGUUGGCUGUUUUUUCUCUUCAAUAACGAAGCAGAAGCAUCACGUGUUGGAUUUACAGCAACAACCCAGUUGGAUUAUUGACUCUACAACGUUUGGCUGAACAACCUCAGAGGUGACAGCUGACGCGAUGUGGGCGGGACUCGCACGGAGACUCGACGGGAGGCGGAGAAGAGCCGAAACUUUUGAAGGCGUCAAGAAAAGCACAGAGGCUUGGACUGUGGGUGUUUGUGCUCCCUCGAUGCAAGGAUGAUGUGGGACGAAUCAGGC